rnacentral:ncRNA from 1 species
GAUAGGUCGCUGUCGCUACCGUGAUUGGACACUGACGCACAGUCAACUAGCCUUGUGCAGGCGGUCUCCGCGCAUGGAACCGAGGACGUUCCGAGCCAUGAGGGGGGAGGCUCGGAGCGUCCUCG